rnacentral:rRNA from 1 species
UAUUGGAUCCAGACUUUGAUUCUGGCUCAGGAUGAACGCUAGCUACAGGCUUAACACAUGCAAGUCGAGGGGAAACGAUAUUGGAAGCUUGCUUCCGAUAGGCGUCGACCGGCGCACGGGUGAGUAACGCGUAUCCAACCUGCCCACCACUUGGGAAUAACCUUGCGAAAGUAAGACUAAUACCCAAUGAUAUCUCUAGAAGACAUCUGAAAGAGAUUAAAGAUUUAUCGGUGAUGGAUGGGGAUGCGUCUGAUUAGCUUGUUGGCGGGGUAACGGCCCACCAAGGCGACGAUCAGUAGGGGUUCUGAGAGGAAGGUCCCCCACAUUGGAACUGAGACACGGUCCAAACUCCUACGGGAGGCAGCAGUGAGGAAUAUUGGUCAAUGGGCGAGAGCCUGAACCAGCCAAGUAGCGUGCAGGAUGACGGCCCUAUGGGUUGUAAACUGCUUUUAUAAGGGAAUAAAGUGAGCCUCGUGAGGCUUUUUGCAUGUACCUUAUGAAUAAGGACCGGCUAAUUCCGUGCCAGCAGCCGCGGUAAUACGGAAGGUCCGGGCGUUAUCCGGAUUUAUUGGGUUUAAAGGGAGCGUAGGCCGGAGAUUAAGCGUGUUGUGAAAUGUAGAUGCUCAACAUCUGCACUGCAGCGCGAACUGGUUUCCUUGAGUACGCACAAAGUGGGCGGAAUUCGUGGUGUAGCGGUGAAAUGCUUAGAUAUCACGAAGAACUCCGAUUGCGAAGGCAGCUCACUGGAGCGCAACUGACGCUGAAGCUCGAAAGUGCGGGUAUCGAACAGGAUUAGAUACCCUGGUAGUCCGCACGGUAAACGAUGGAUGCCCGCUGUUGGUCUGAAUAGGUCAGCGGCCAAGCGAAAGCAUUAAGCAUCCCACCUGGGGAGUACGCCGGCAACGGUGCAACUCAAAUGAAUUGACGGA